UACAGAGGGGCAAGCGUUAUUCGGAAUUAUUGGGCGUAAAGGGCGCGUAGGCGGCUUUUCAAGUGACGGGUGAAAUCCCUCGGCUUAACCGAGGAACUGCCUGUCAGACUUGGAAAGGCUUGAGACCGGGAGAGGUGAGUGGAAUUCCCAGUGUAGCGGUGAAAUGCGUAGAUAUCUGGAGGAACACCGGUGGCGAAGGCGGCAUCCUGGACCAACAUUGACGCUGAGGAGACGAAAGCCAGGGGAGCAAACGGG
rnacentral:rRNA from 1 species